CUGGGAGUUGUAGUCCGCGCGGCUGCGCGCCCUUUGGCGGGGAUACCCGGCCUCUGCCAUCCGGCUGGCCUCCAAUCCUGUAAAGAAGCAACUGCCCUGAGAUUAACUCCCGAUGCGGUUUUGAUUCAGGAUUAUUAUUUGAAUUGCUGAAGAUGUCAUCAGGCCUUACAGAGGAGCAAAAGAGAAGAAUCGAAGAGAACCGCCAGAAGGCCUUGGCUAGGAGAGCAGAGAGACUAGCAGCCCAGAGAGGUGGGCAGGUGGGGAGCACUGAACCUCAGCUGAAAGAGCGCAGUUUACGCAAUCAGGGAAACUUGAAGCAAGAAAACGAUCAUGUCAGGUUCAUUAGCCAGCACCAACAGAAUCCGAACAGUCCUAAGGAGCAGAAGAGCUAUCUUCAUAAAGAUUAUAAUCAUUGCACUGCAAACCAACAGAUGGCUGGCUUACAUGGAGAGCAACAAAAGAAUUGUUCAGAGGACUCAGAACAAGCAAGUGGCAUUAAGCAAUUCCCUGCAACGAUUCCAAAUUCUCUGAGUUAUUCCCAUCAACAUAACUCAGGUGCUGAUGGCCAGAAACACAAUCAACAAGCUUUAAUUAAUCUUGGUACAUUCCAGCAGUCCAAGUACUACCCAGCUUACAAAAACCCUACAGAACUAUCUCAUCCCAGAUUAAUAGAUAACUGGCACCCUGGUGAUAUUAAAGAUUUACAAAGUCAGAGCAAAUCUGCCACUAAAUAUGUUUCACCACCAAGCAGCACCACCCCAGGUGAUUCAGAAAUGCUGAUAAACACAGGCAGAUCAACAGAAAAAGAGGGAGGAGGUGGUGCCUCUCAGGCCAGUGGUAAGGUGCAAAAGCUGACCAGCUCUGCUGGUGCAGGCUCUACCUUUGAAGCUGUCUCUCACAAGAAAGCACGCAGUGUUACAAAAGGAAAGUGUGUGAAAUAUGGAGAAGAUCGAUUCCAGGUUGAAAUAGGGUAUAAUGCCGAACUCAUUGCUGUGUUUAAGAAGGUACCAAGCAAAAGCUACGAUCCUACUACGAAAAAAUGGAAUUUCAGCUUGGAAGAUUACAGGAGUUUCAUUGAAGCAGCAAAUCGACUUUCCUCAGUAAUUCUGGUACCCCUAGAAGGAGAAAAUGCUGUGGACUUGGUGUCAGGUGCUCGUUUCAUCAGCAGUGGGACUGAUGUGAAAUCCCUCAUGAAGAUGUGCAACAACUGGAAGAAACCCUCAGCCCUUGUCAAAGGGAAGUGUGUGCUGAUCUCUCGCUUUCGGUUUGAGGUUGAUAUUGGGUACUCCGCAGAAAUGGUUGGAGUGUUCAAACAGAUGAAUUCUAGAAAUUAUGAUACGAAGAACAGAAAAUGGAGUUUCCUGCUGGAGGACUAUCCCAAACUGAUGGAAAUGGUACAGAGCCUUGUGUCAGUAGAAGUGGAGCCGCUGCCCACAGCAGUAAUACAGACCUUCGCUACUCAAAUAGAGAGAUUUACCUCACAGACGGUGGACUUUCCUGAGGCUGACCUUUCAGUAGUGGACUCCAAAAUUGUGACAAGCCUCAUGCCCUUUCAGCGGGAAGGUGUGAAUUUUGCAAUUUUAAGAAAUGGACGUUUACUUCUUGCGGAUGACAUGGGCUUGGGCAAGACUAUCCAGGCAAUCUGCAUUGCUGCUUAUUACCGAAAGGAAUGGCCCUUGCUCGUGGUGACUCCUUCCUCUGUGAGAUUUACAUGGGCAGAGGCAUUUCACAGGUGGCUUCCAUCCUUGAGUCCAGGUAGCACCAAUGUCAUAGUGACUGGCAAAGACAACCUAACAGCAAGCUUGAUUAACAUUAUCAGCUUUGACCUUCUCAGCAAGAUGGACAAGCAACUCAAAGGCGCUUUCCAAGUAGUUAUUAUUGAUGAAUCUCAUUUCCUAAAGAAUAUAAAAACUGCACGAUGCCGAGCUGCCAUGCCUCUUCUCAAGGCUGCUAGAAGAGUGAUCUUGCUUUCAGGAACCCCUGCCAUGUCGCGGCCUGCAGAGCUCUACACGCAGAUUGCUGCUGUCCAGCCAACCUUCUUCCCGCAGUUCCAUUCCUUCGGCCUGCGCUACUGUGAUGCCAAGAAGAUGCCGUGGGGCUGGGACUACUCUGGAUCAUCCAACUUAACUGAACUGAAAGUUUUACUGGAAGAGUCUAUCAUGAUCCGACGUCUGAAAUCAGAUGUGCUUUCCCAGCUUCCAGCAAAGCAACGCAAAAUGGUUGUGGUGGCUCCUGAAGGCAUUAACGCAAAGACCAAAGCUGUCUUGGCAGCUGCAGCAACAAAGAUGGCCAAAGGAUAUGAAAGUCCUGUUGAAGCUGCAUUGUGGAAGACAGCCGUAGCCAAAAAGAAACAACAGGAAAAGGAAGCUCUUCUCCUCUUCUACAGCAGAACGGCAGAAGCUAAAAUCCACUCAGUUGUAGAAUAUAUCCUGGAGUUACUGGAGAGUGGGAAAGAUAAAUUCCUGGUGUUUGCUCAUCACAAGAUAGUGCUGGAUGCAAUAGUUGCAGAGCUGGAGAAGAAACGUGUUGAAUACAUUCGUGUUGAUGGCUCUACACCUUCAGCUGAGCGGCAGUCUCUGUGCCAGAAGUUCCAGUUCUCAGAGAAGCAGAUUGUGGCUGUCCUGUCCCUCACUGCUGCAAACAUGGGCCUGACGUUGUCUGCUGCAGACCUGGUGGUGUUUGCAGAGCUCUUCUGGAAUCCAGGGAUUUUGAUCCAAGCAGAAGAUCGGGCACAUCGAAUUGGACAGACUGGCUCUGUUAAUGUUCACUACCUGGUGGCUAAAGGCACAGCAGAUGACUUCUUAUGGCCAAUGAUUCAAGAGAAAAUAAAAGUGCUGGGUGAAGCUGGUCUUUCUGAAGCCAAUUUCUCUGAAACGGCUGAACCUACUGACUACUACCCUAAGUCAGAUCCAAAGCAGAAGACCAUCUAUGACCUUUUCCAGAGGACUUUCUCUAAGAACAGAGAUGACACUGAUGAAGUUUUACUCUUUGAGGCAGCUAAUGCCUGCUGUGACAUUGAUCCUGAAAGUGCCUUGCAGGAUAUGGAAGGAGAGAGAUGCUCAGUGAGUCCCCCUAAAAAACGGCGUAUUGAGGAGUUUUUUAAAGUUUAAUGGUGGCAACAAAAGAAAAGGUGGCUAAGAGAUUUUUAUUUAAAAACAGCCAAGGGAAUCAAUGCAUUGUUUUUGAGUUUACGGAAAUAAAAUGACUUUGGGUGGGUUUUCCUGUAUCUCUAGUGUGUUUCACUUCAAAGGAUUAGGAGAGAAGGCAGCCUGACAGCAUGACAGAUGAACGUGGGGCUUGCAGCCUGCAGGUUUGCAGUCCUGGUUUUGCUGGUGACUGAGGGGCCAUGGGCAAGUAUCACGCUGCUUUGUUUCAACACCUCAGCUUCCACAGUUGUUUUGUUUAAAAAGCAAAUAGAUAAUGUUCAUCCGCAUGACAGAGCUAUUGCGAAGACUAAUGUCUCGGCAGCUGUAGAGUGCUCUGAGGAAUCCAAGCUCUCUGCAGAGGGCUGCUGUAGUCUCAAAGAAUUUUUGUUUUUAUUUAUAGGAGUUGGUUUUUGGCAAAAUUUGGCCCUUGUUUGGGUUACUCACAAACUGGCUAUCCGGUGUUUAUUUUGUCAGUGAGGAGAAAAGAAAUCUGGGUCCCGACAAAUCUUGAUGUUUUGUGAAGGCGGAGGGAGGAGGGAGAGCCCCAGACCUUUGUGUGUGCAGGGCAGUCAGUACCUUGGAGCCAAGUUGCUGAGCUGUCUAACAGCAGGAGUUUCCGUGACAAAAUCCCAGUCCCUUGUGAGUAGCCUGAUUCCGUCUUACCGCAGUGAUGCCUCUGCAGAACUUCUACAGGCCACUAUUGAUGUAAAGACAAAUGGCUCUGUGUAUCAUGGCUAAUCUUUUGAGGUAUCUCUGCGCAGUCAUCUUUCAUUUCUUGUGUACUGUUGCCAGUGCAGUGUAACGUGAUCCCAAAUUCAUGCCUUUCCCCCUUCUGGUCUUAGUCCUGGAUGAUACUUGGUAAUGGGCUAGCGUCAGCAAAUGCUACAAGGGAGUAGGGGAGAAGGUAUAAUUUCAUGGAGGUUCCAGUUAUCUAUAUUUGAUGGCCAUAAUCUUUGGAGAGAGCAGGGAGGGAGAGGGGAGGCAAAGCUCAAGGCUUACAUCUAGCUUCUGGAUGCCAGGAGCUAACAUACUGGGUAGGUAGGUUACUUGAUUGUGGGCAGCUACCAGAUACCAGCAGAAAGCCUGCUCUUUUACUAUAGAGGAGCAUAAGGUCCGUGCUACAAGAUCAACCUGAUAAUAAGUGGGAUAUUUCUUCCUGCAUUAAAGGGUUUGAUUACCCCAUUUACAGCAAGUGUAGUCAUGGAAAUGCCCUACAGGCUGUGCGUGCAGUUGUGCUGGUAGAGACUGUUGCAGUUCAUUCAUGACUGUACGAAAGGUGCUUUGAUGUGUGUACAAGUGAAGAAAGAGUAGGAGCAAGGAAUGUGUGACUGGGCGAUUGAGGGAAAUGCUUUGUUUCUGGGUUUCAGAGUUAAAGCUAAACGUCGUUUCUCUUGCUCCAACAACUGGCCAGGAGAUAAAUGCAUGCUUUGUUUCUAAAUGGCUUUUUUCUUGAGCAUGAAGUAUUUAAUCUGUUUCUAGGACACGUGACCUUUCCUUUCAGGGAAGGUUGUUCUGAGUUAGGGGUGAGAAAUGUUGCCAUCUGCCUACUGGAAAAAAGAAAAGGAAGACCUUAUUUGUGUGCCGGUAUUGUCAUCUUCUAUAGGAAAAAUUCUCUUCCUCCUUGUAAAGCUACAGCAAAAUAGUAUUUUUUCUGAAAUCUGCUGAAAGUACCCUUGGAGAAUUCUGCUUCUCAUAAACUCAAUUUGUCUUACCCAUAUAUUGAUAAAUCCCAGCCCUGUUAGAAGAAUGCUAGGUGUACCUCUUUGAUAAUGACCCAUAAAAUCUCAGCUUGAUUGCUUCAUAGUUACAAAGGCUCUUCAAAUACACUUGAGAUGCACUUUAUGUUUGCUAGAUUAAAAAGGAAGAAAGAAUCUCUUGCAGAGGAGUGCUUUUAGUCGUUACAUCAAGGGACUGGAAAGAUUCUGCGUGCCUUCCUUAGCCCAAUUAUGCUAUUAGUCUUUCAUUAGUAUGAUGAGGAGGUGGUUGGGAUGCAGCCAGCAGGCUCACAUAGGAUCUCCAAGGCUUGCUGAUGAGAAGUUGUACGCGGCAGUCUGCAGGUUGCCAGCAAGGCCCACGUGCAGACUCAGGAACAUGCAACGCUCCUGGGGCCUCCUACACCUGCCCAUCAAAGACAGUAUAGCCAUAACUUCUCAGCAUUGUCGAAAGCCCAGUGAAGUCAAUAGAAGGACCUGUGGAAAGUUCUUGACACCUGUGGUUUCUUCUGGGCCUCCGUUCUUCAGCUCUUAAAGAGGAUGUCUUUUGGAGUUCUUUCAUCUUAUUUUGUUAUUCUGUAUGUUUUGGGAGCUCUUUAAGGCAAAGCCGUCUCCUACGUGAUCUAGUGCAUUAGGCUAUCUUGAUGCUGUCACAAUAUAAGUGAAAAAGGACAGUAAAUACGUCGAUCGCCCUGCUAUAUGAGAAACGCUGUUAGGGCAACAACAACAUUGAGUAUCCUAUGUGUGUUUGAAUUUGGAAGAACUCAGAACUGCAGCCGUUUUACUACUGUUCUGGAACUGAGCUUGGGUCUCGGAGCAUCUUGCCAAGACUAUUUACUUCCUUGUACGCAUAUAUCUGUAUUCUCACCCACUUAAUAGGACGACACGUUUUUAGGAAGGAUGCCCAACCGGAAAAAACAGGUAACAGAACCUCAGCAAUGAAAUGGAGCAGUUUGAGCUACUGCUGCAGUAUGUACAGCUGGCCAGUCUGGCACAUGCAGAAGACUUCAAGGUGGCAAACUGACAAGACAGGGAUGUUGAAACUGUGCUGGCCUGUCUACAUUCAUCCUGUCUUCACAGUCACUUGGGGAUAUGCUUUUAUUGUGGUAGUGCUGGGAGAUGGCUGUAGUCUGAGAGGGCUGGAUUUGGUUAUGGGCAGAGCUGUCGUACCCUUUGUCUACCAGUGUUAUAGACAAGUCACUGUAUUCACACAGAAAACUAAUUUUGUAGAUAUAGACUGGAGAAUACCAGUAGAUUCUCUGUCCUGGAUGUCUUAGCUGACAGACUUGUUUACCAAAUAGCCAAAGGAUCUUUUUUUGUUUACUAUGUUGGUAUUUGAAGAUUUAUCCUGUGAGUCGUCAUUAUGACGAGCAUGUGAAAAGGGCAGAUAUGGUCCUAAGAUGUGUCGGAAGAGAGAUUUCCACUCAACAGAGGAAGAUAUAAAUACCAAUGCCUAAAGCCCUGCUGAGCCCUCAUCUGGAACACGGCCCUGGCCCACCAUCUCCAGAAAGACUGCCCAAACUGGAGAAUGGCUUACAGAAAUGAUCAGAGCAGCACACGAGAGAGAAUUAAGUGCAAGCAUUCAAACCCUCAAAGCAGGAGCCAAGACGGGAGAUGAUAUCUGUCCAUCUGUACCUCAAAAGUGCAAAACACCAGAGAGAGAGAAAAGCUAACGUGGUGCCAGGACCCUGGGCAGACGCUAGUCAUAAGUAAGUCAUAAAUAAGCAGAGGUUGGAAAUUAGGAAGGGGGUUGGACCUGGCAAAGGUGCGUUGUUCUGCAGGCUCCCCGUGGGAACUGCUGGGGUGAGGGACCUGGCUUACCUGGAUGGCACGUAAACGGGGGUCUCCACGGUGGCUGUGACGGCAGGACGUGGUUCCCCCCCCCCUCUGACCCAGAAGGGGG